AAGAACCUUACCUGGGUUUGACAUAUAGGUGGUAGGGAACCGAAAGGUGACCGACUCUUCGGAGAGCCUAUACAGGUGAUGCAUGGCUGUCGUCAGCUCGUGCCGUGAGGUGUCCGGUUAAGUCCGGUAACGAGCGCAACCCUCGCUGUAUGUUAUACGUGUCAUACGGGACUGCCGGUAUAAAGCCGGAGGAAGGUGAGGAUGACGUCAAGUCAGCAUGUCCUUUAUUAUCCAGGGCUACACACACGCUACAAUGGUCAGUACAAUAGGUUGCAAAGCCGCGAGGUGGAGCCAAUCCCAAAAGCUGGCCUCAGUUCGGAUUGCAGGCUGCAACUCGCCUGCAUGAAGUUGGAGUUGCUAGUAAACGCGCGUCAGCAACAGUGCGUUGAAUACGUUCCCGGGGAUUGUACACACCGCCCGUCACGUCAUGGAAGCUGGAAACGCCCGAAGUCGGUAUCCUAACCGCAAGGAGGGAGCUGCCUAAGGCGGGUCUGGU
rnacentral:rRNA from 1 species